AUUCAAGAGUACGUGAAACCGUUCGGGGGUAAACCUGAGAAACCCGAAAGAUCGAAAGCCGAGAUACAGCGUCCGCGCCGCCGGUGCAGCGGCGACGGCGUGCACUUCUCGGCCGGUAGGACGUCGCGACCCGUUGGGAGUCGCCGACGCGUAAUGGGGUACGUUCGGGAGGCUCGAGGCGGCGCGGCGGGACUUGUUCCCGUCGUCUUUGCGGCCCCUCGAACCCGACGCGUCCUCGCCUAGCGUUCGGCACGCCCGACGCGACAUUCAAAAACAGAACGAUGCGUUCGUUCGGCGGUUGCGCUUUUGCGGCGCGCCCGGCUUCGUCGUCGCGCUCACGCGCCUCGGCGAAUGUUCUCGGGCGUGCGCGCCUAAUCGGCGCGCACACCGACGUCCGAUCGUCAGCGACGCUUUUGCUUUGGGCGUUUUCAGGACCCGUCUUGAAACACGGACCAAGGAGUCCAACGUGCGCGCGAGUCAAUGGGAGCAAACAGAUAAACCCAAAGGCGAAGCGAAAGCGAAGGUCGGCCGGGGGCGGGGGGCAACUCUCGCAUCCCGUCGGCCGUUGGGAGGAUGGGUCGCGCUCGUCGCGAUCCCGCACUCCCGGGGCGUCUCCGUCAGGCAUCGUCGUCGACGUUUGCGCGUCUUCGUUCGGUGCCGGAGGCGCAC
rnacentral:rRNA from 1 species